GGAAGAGACAUUGAAAUGGCAACUGUUCUCAGGAAGAACAUUCUGUCUACAUGUUACACUAACCAUGAGACAGUGUGUCCUCCCUCAGGCUCAUAUCUUGCCGAAUUCGCCUUCUCU
rnacentral:precursor_RNA from 9 species